rnacentral:rRNA from 1 species
CCUACGGGAGGCAGCAGUAGGGAAUAUUGCUCAAUGGGGGAAACCCUGAAGCAGCAACGCCGCGUGGAGGAUGAAGGUUUUCGGAUUGUAAACUCCUUUUGUUAGAGAAGAUAAUGACGGUAUCUAACGAAUAAGCACAGGCUAACUCCGUGCCAGCAGCCGCGGUAAUACGGGGGUUGCAAGCGUUACCCGGAAUCACUGGGCGUAAAGAGCGCGUAGGCGGGAUAGCAAGUCAGAUGUGAAAUGCUAUGGCUUAACCAUAGGACUGCAUUUGACACUGUUAUUCUAGAGUAUGGGAGUGGUAGGUGGAAUGUUUGGGGUAGGGGUGAAAUCCGUAGAGAUCAAGAGGAAGACUCAUUGCGAAGGCGGCCUGCUAGAACAUAACUGACGCUGAGGCGCGAAAGCGUGGGGAGCAAACAGGAUUAGAUACCCGUGUAGUC